CCACCUCUACCACAAAGGGACGAGUAGGAUCAGGAUGAACGAGGAUGGGUUCGGAGGUGAAACGUCCCUUGAGCUCUAUGAAUGCCCUGUCAGCCUCGGGAUUCCUGCAAAAACCUGCUUGAGUGAGGUGGGACAGGGCCGUAAAUGUUCCGGAGGGGGUUUUGGAGAAGAUCGGGAUGUCGUCGAGGUGAACAAAGACGAACCGGUUCAACAUAUCCCUAAGAGUAUCAUUGAUCAAUGCCUGAAAGACUGCUGAUUUUAAGCGUUGCGAAGGUCCAGUUUGGUGAAGAAUUGGAUUCUUAGUGCCAACUCCGAGGCGGCGGACAUCGGGUUUGUUGAACAUGAGUGGAAAUGAAACUCCAGCACACUGGUAGCACUAAAGAUGUUCUGGCACUAAGUGUGACAACGUUCAGGUGGCUGGUCUGACCCUGUCCUAUAACGGGUCCCCUGGUGUACGAUGGCAGCCUGUUGUCAGAGUGUAACAGAGACUGCUCCUGCUUGGCUGGGAAGUGGGACCCUGUGUGUUCAGACAACGGCAUCACCUACACCCCCAGCCUCGCAGGCUGCUCCAGCUUUACAGGUUACGGCAAGAACACGGUACCAAUACUAUUAAUGUACUGAGAGUACAAAACAUUCACAGGGAUGCUGGCCCAUGUUGACUCCAAUGGCUCCCACAUUUGUGUCAAGUUGGCUGUAUGUCUUUUGAGUGGUGGACCAUUCUUGAUACAAAUCAAAUCAAAU